CGCUGGACGAGCCGAGCGCGCGGGGCUCGAAGACGCCGGGCAAGAGACUAAGUGGCCAGGUACUCGACCACACAGCGCAAAAGAAAUUCAGAAUCUCAAGGAACUGUGCUUUUCCUAUCACAUCGGCAGGAAUUCAACAACAAUGACAAUGUAUUCGGUGCGUUCAAGGAACAGUGGAAGCUGCAUCUUCUUUCUCUGCUGGUGCAUAGCUAGGCUUAAAACAAUCUGAGAAGUAUCCCUGACCCUCUGGGAUUACCAAGAAAUUCAACAGAGAGAAACAUAAGUGAACCACAAAGAAGUUCAAAGAAUGUGAAUUUCCAAGAAAUUAAAAGAAUUUAUUAGUGAACCUUACCAUUCACAUGGUCAUGGGGAGAUGAGAGCCUAAAGGAACAUACGGUUGUCUUUGCCUUCCGAAGCUUAUGGAUGAGCUAAGAGUGUAAAGCCACUAAGGUAAAAUCCUGGAGGAAAUGGCCUUUUGCUAGCUGAAAAACUUUUUAUUUGGUGGGGAGGGGAGUAAAGUUAGAUCUUGAUACGAUUUUAUAUAGACAGGGAAGGACUGGAUUUCUUUGUAUAAUAAGGUAGAAAAGGUGUCCUACUUUGUAAAGCUGGGUAAAUGUGUAUUCACUUUAUUAUUCGUAAAUAUGUCUGUAUGCACAUUAUAUUUUGAUUUCUAAAACAAUCCAUU